CUGAUAUUACCUACACCAGGGCAGAAUGAUGAAUUCUACGAAGGAUGCUCAUGGAAGGAAAGGCUAUGUUGUCUUAACAAGGAUGGAAAGUAUAACAACAUACACAAACUAACAUGGAUAACCCAGAUCUGGAUAGAUGGGACCUAGAAGAAACACAAGAAACAGAAGAAAAAGUCUCAAAAUUGCGAAAGGGCGAUAUAGAGGCUGGCGAUCAACUCUAAGCUCCACUUACAAGGCAUACAAAAUAGAUGCAGCUAGAUUGGCUAAUCUACCGGAUGAUUUACAACCAGAAGAGUGGGAAUGGAUGAUUGAGUACUUUGUCACUAAUUCAU